rnacentral:rRNA from 1 species
UACGUAGGGUGCGAGCGUUAAUCGGAUUUACUGGGCGUAAAGCGCGCGUAGGCGGCUAAUUAAGUCAAAUGUGAAAUCCCCGAGCUUAACUGGGAAUUGCAUUCGAUACUGGUUAGCUAGAGUGUGGGAGAGGAUGGUAGAAUUCCAGGUGUAGCGGUGAAAUGCGUAGAGAUCUGGAGGAAUACCGAUGGCGAAGGCAGCCAUCUGGCCUAACACUGACGCUGAGGUGCGAAAGCAUGGGGAGCAAACAGGG